UACGUAGGGUGCAAGCGUUGUCCGGAAUUAUUGGGCGUAAAGAGCUCGUAGGUGGUUUGUCGCGUUGUUCGUGAAAUCUCACGGCUUAACUGUGAGCGUGCGGGCGAUACGGGCAGACUAGAGUACUGCAGGGGAGACUGGAAUUCCUGGUGUAGCGGUGGAAUGCGCAGAUAUCAGGAGGAACACCGGUGGCGAAGGCGGGUCUCUGGGCAGUAACUGACGCUGAGGAGCGAAAGCGUGGGGGAGCGAACAGG
rnacentral:rRNA from 1 species